UUUUGAGGACCGCAGCACCGCUAUGCUGCCUCUGGCUCCCCCUUGUGUCCAGGACCUGAGCUUCAGCGGGCCUAGCCGGCUCCGCCCCGCUGCGCUGAGUUCCAAUCGCUCCCAGCAGUUCUGGUCAAGAUCCCGCCCAAGGGUUCACGCCUUUAUGUGGGUGUUGGGCGCCAAGGCUUUGUGCACCCUAGACAAGAAUUCAACAGCCAAGCUACGUCUUCAGCUGCUUCUAUAUUUAUGAAAGGUUUUGCUUAUAAAUCAAGGCAAAACAGUAGACAUAAUCAUGUAAAAAGACAGAAGAACACAGACAAGUCAGUUGCCUGUGUGGAUGGCCUUUGCUUCUGUCUUCACCGUGAAGCACAAAUGAAUCUAUCUGUGAAGAAGCCUAUGAAAAUGUGGGUUCAACAAGGGACAUAGACAGCAACAACCAAACGGAGAGCAACAGUUCCUGGCUCUGCCAUUCACUUGUUCUUUGAGGUCCUUCCAUCCUGACUGAACUAUGCUGAAACCUGCUUGUUGAGCUCAUAACCUUCUCUUGUAACUCCUGUGACUGUUCGUCCAUCAAGAUUUUGUUGUUUUGCUUUUGCAGUACUGAGGCAUGAGCUUGCACAUGCUAGGCAAGUGCUCCACUAAGCUAUACCCCAGCCCUUGUCUUUUUGAGACAGGAUCUCACUAUGUAGCCCAGGCUGGCCUAAAACCUGUGAUCCUCAUGCCAUUAGAAGUAGGGUCUUACUAUGUAGCUGGACCCGGAACUUGCUAUGGUGCCCAGCCUAACCUCUGCAUCCUGAGUGCUAGGAUUACACAUGUGUACACACAUGUAUCAGGUGGAAGGCAUGAAUCAUAAUGUUCUGUAGCACAGAAGGACAACUAUGUUUUCCAUAAAUAAACUGAAAAUGUCAAAAUAGCUAACAGAUGGAAUUUUGAACAUUUUUAGCACACACACAAAAUUAGUGUCUGAGGUGAGGUAUUUGCCAGACCAUGACAUGCUGUAUAAGUCUAGUGAAGAGUUACAGUGUGCCUUGUAAAUUCAUACAGCUACCAUGUGUUAGCUAAAAUAUAUUUUAGGCAGUUGUGGUGGCCCACACUUUUAAUCCCUGUACUGAGGGCAAGCAGAGGCAAUGGAGUUCCACAUCUGUGAGUUCUAGGCCAGUUUGGUUUACACAGCCAGUUCCAGGGCUGCCAGGGCUGCACAGUGAGAUGAUGUCUCAAAUAUAUAUACUUAAUAUAAUUUUAAUAUAAUUGUAAAGGUGGAGGGCUGAAGAGAUGGCUUAGCAGUUAAGACAUGUACUGCUCUUGUAGACCAUAUGAGUUCAGUUACUGGUUCCCUCAUUUGGUCUUCAAAGUCACCCACAUACAUCACACACAGACACCUACACAUACACACAAAUUUUUCGCUUAAUUUUUAUUUUUUUGGUUUUUUUUCAAGACAGG
rnacentral:lncRNA from 1 species